rnacentral:rRNA from 1 species
AGUGAACGCUGGCGGUAGGCCUAACACAUGCAAGUCGAACGGCAGCACAGUAAGAGCUUGCUCUUACGGGUGGCGAGUGGCGGACGGGUGAGGAAUACAUCGGAAUCUACUUUUUCGUGGGGGAUAACGUAGGGAAACUUACGCUAAUACCGCAUACGACCUACGGGUGAAAGCAGGGGAUCUUCGGACCUUGCGCGAUUGAAUGAGCCGAUGUCGGAUUAGCUAGUUGGCGGGGUAAAGGCCCACCAAGGCGACGAUCCGUAGCUGGUCUGAGAGGAUGGUCAGCCACAAUGGAACUGAGACACGGUCCAGACUCCUACGGGAGGCAGCAGUGGGGAAUAUUGGGCAAUGGGCGCAAGCCUGAUCCAGCCAUACCGCGUGGGUGAAGAAGGCCUUCGGGUUGUAAAGCCCUUUUGUUGGGAAAGAAAAGCAGCAGGUUAAUACCCCGCUGUUCUGACGGUACCCAAAGAAUAAGCACCGGCUAACUUCGUG